rnacentral:rRNA from 1 species
UACGAAGGGGGCUAGCGUUGCUCGGAAUCACUGGGCGUAAAGGGUGCGUAGGCGGGUCUUUAAGUCAGGGGUGAAAUCCUGGAGCUCAACUCCAGAACUGCCUUUGAUACUGAGGAUCUUGAGUUCGGGAGAGGUGAGUGGAACUGCGAGUGUAGAGGUGAAAUUCGUAGAUAUCAGGAAGAACACCCGUGGCGAAGGCGGCUCUCUGGGACGGUACUGACGCUGAGACGCGAAAGCGUGGGGAGCGAACAGG